UACGUAGGGGGCAAGCGUUGUCCGGAUUUACUGGGCGUAAAGAGCGUGUAGGCGGCCAAGCAGGUCCGUUGUGAAAACUGGAGGCUUAACCUCCAGACGUCGACGGAAACCGCGUGGCUAGAGUCCGGAAGAGGAGAGUGGAAUUCCUGGUGUAGCGGUGAAAUGCGCAGAUAUCAGGAAGAACACCAAUGGCGUAGGCAGCUCUCUGGGACGGUACUGACGCUGAGACGCGAAAGCGUGGGGAGCGAACAGG
rnacentral:rRNA from 1 species